CACGUAGGGCGCAAGCGUUGUCCGGAAUUAUUGGGCGUAAAGAGCUCGUAGGUGGUUUGCUGCGUCCGCUGUGAAAACCCAAGGCUUAACCUUGGGCUUGCAGUGGAUACGGGCAGACUAGAGGUAGGUAGGGGAGAAUGGAAUUCCUGGUGUAGCGGUGGAAUGCGCAGAUAUCAGGAGGAACACCGGUGGCGAAGGCGGGUCUCUGGGCCGUUACUGACGCUGAGGAGCGAAAGCGUGGGGAGCGAACAGG
rnacentral:rRNA from 1 species